GUGCUCCUAAUUUCCACGGUUACGCGUUAUGGGUGAUUAAAACUGACAGGAGUGGACAGUGGUUCCAUGGCCAGGAUGGGCACGGGUUUGCUGACCAUUCCUCAGGAGUCAUCACACCAGGAAGCCGGGACAGGAACAAGAUGUGCCUCUGAGGCAAUCAGCUUCCUGAGGACAGAGAUCUUGACUGUCUCAUUCACUGCUGUAUCCCCAGGACCUAGGACACUGCUGCCCCAUUCCCAACAACACUGAUUGGAAAGUGAAGCUCAACCCCGUUGACCACGUCGACCCAUUGACUCGGUUUUCCUCCUGGGAAUACGUUUGGGGCAAUGCCCAGACCAGUCCUCAGUACCCUCACAGUGCCUGACGCUGCUGGACAAGGGUUGUCGUGAGGGCCAAACAAGAUUCAGGAGUGCUAGGUGCUUCCUCCAGUCCUGAUGCUGUCCUUCCGGGAGCUCCAGCAUCCAUCUUGGACCACUGGCAGGAAGCACGCGCUGAGGAGGAAGGAGCAGCAAGCCUGGAGGAGGUGGAGCCCCUGACACAUGGACCGUCAUUCCAGUCCUGGGCUGCCCGCCCACAGACUCCCCUACAUGGAAGAAAAAUCAGCUUUUAUGUUGGGGUAUAUAUUUUAUGCACCUGAAUCGUAUCCAGCUCUAGGUAUUACUACAGCCUGCUGCCCCACUCCAUUUCGUCUUAGAACAGUUUGUCCUCACCUUCCAUCUAGUAAAUGUUUAAGA
rnacentral:lncRNA from 1 species